AUGACGGAUUUGGUGGAGGAGAGGAACUCCCUCAAGGACGAAAAGAGGAGCCCUGUGUACAGAAAACUUGUGAUGCUGCUUUGUCAAGUGCUUGUGGGGUGGUUUCGAUUUGACCUAGAAGACCGCCGCUUCGCUCCUCCGGGUCUGCUUAUUCCCGGGUCGCCGCUGCUCCCACGAUGGAGGAAACACUUGUCUUGUUUUUCUGUAUUGAGCAAACGCUUGUCUUGUUUUUCUGUAGCAUUCACCAUGCAUGUCUCGUGUGAUCCUUGUGCAGGCCGUAUAGCACUAAUUGGACUGCGGUGGUCUGAUGACACCUUCCCUUGUCCAUGGAGGAUCCUCAAUAGGCAAGAACAUAUGCCACCGCUGAUCCAAAGCUCGUGCCAGGGGAAGGGAUUCUGUCAUUGCCUUCUAUGUGGGUGGUGA
rnacentral:rRNA from 1 species